GCCUUGCAAAUCAUGAGGGAAUCCCAGGGAAAGAAAACACUGCUCUGACUGAUAGUGAGGUGAUUGUCUCUACAUACAGAUGAGACACAUGAGACACAGAGAAAUGGAUACUACUGAGGUCAUGGCCAGGAGGUGGCAGUGCAAAGAUUCCUACCCAAGCUUCCUCAUCUGUGAACAGAACAGGAAGGCCUCGGUAAAUAGGUACACGUUGACAAGCAACAACCUACUCAAAACUCAUCUGUUUGUAUCAGUGCACCAUGUGACUCCCUCAUUUGGACUUCUGCAGGAACAUGCCAGAGACGGGGACUUGCUAUGUUGCCCAGAAUGGAACGCAGUGGCUCUUCACAGGCACCAUCCUGGCAUGCUAUAGCCUCAAACUCCUGGGCUCAAGCAUCAUCCUGCCUCAGACUCCCAAUUAGCUGGGACUACAGCUGAGUUUUCAGUGUGGACUUUGCUUCUGAAUUGUGUCCAAGGCUCUGAGUCGGUUUUAAGACCUUACAUCCGCAUGGUGCUUUGCUGUUUAAGAAGGAAUUCCACAUUAAUCUUCAGCUCUGAUUAUUCAAGUUCAUCCCGGUUCCUGUUACAGUCACUGCUUGAAUAAAUGAAUGAACCAAAA
rnacentral:lncRNA from 1 species